AUUUUUGACAUGUUACGUAUUGGCAUCUCCUUCGGACCUGUUGCCAACCAACUGAAUCUAUUUCCAUCAACACUCAAGGCUGCAACAUGCAGAUGCAAUGCUCAUCUUUGCUCCUUUCUUGCUUCUCUGACACUUUCCUGAGUCUCAUGUAGCCCCAGCUGUGCCACAUUGUGUGUUCUUGCAUUGGGAAGUGGUGAUCUAGACCAACCUCACCAUUCCUCAGCAGCUUUCUUUAAAUCCCUGCCUUCCUUUCAUUUAUUCCGCUUUUUGUGCUUCUCCUGGGUUCUGCAUUGCUCACACCUGUUUCUCUCCUGCUGGGAACAUCUCAUUCUCCCCUCCACCCUGUCUCCAUCUUUGGUGGCAAGAUCCUCGCUGAUCCUGCGAGGCAGGCUGGGCCGGCACUGCUAGCUCAUUUGGCAGAGAAAGAAACCUGCAGACCUGGCAACUCUAUGAUUUGCUCAAGUUUUCAUAGCAAGUUAGUGUCUGUGACAUCUUAGAGGCCUGUUUCUGGCUUCUCAGCCCACUCUAGACUUGGUGUUAAAACAUCUGCCCAGAGUCACUAAGACCAUGGCUGAAAAAUCAAAAUC
rnacentral:lncRNA from 10 species